GGGUGCAGUCGGGCUUUAUAUAGUAAAAUGUCCCUGGGAGGUGUAGGUGAUGUGCUCGGGACAGCAGGGUGGCAUCAGCCAAUGACCCGGCUCGGUAUAACAAGCAAGUCUCUGGAGGCUACUAGAAGCACCUGGAGGUAAGCCAGAGGCAUUUCUGGGCCAGGGUCACCUGUGGCCUCUCCCCGGGCUUUGUUGAGUGCCUGCAUCUUCAUUCCCCGGACUAGGCAUCUCUCUUUCAGAGCCAAGUCCUUCCUCUCCGGGAGGUGACAGAAGUUCUGGGUGUUCGGUCGUCGCUUGUGGGGUCUACGCUUCUGCUUCUGUGGGGGAUCUUGGGGAUAAGAUCCCUAUUGGCUCUCUGCCCAGGUGGGCUUAAUG